GACGAACGCUGGCGGCGUGCCUAAUACAUGCAAGUAGAACGCUGAAGGAGGAGCUUGCUCUUCUGGAUGAGUUGCGAACGGGUGAGUAACGCGUAGGUAACCUGCCUGGUAGCGGGGGAUAACUAUUGGAAACGAUAGCUAAUACCGCAUAAUAUUGACUAUUGCAUGAUAGUCAAUUGAAAGGUGCAAAUGCACCACUACCAGAUGGACCUGCGUUGUAUUAGCUAGUUGGUGGGGUAACGGCUCACCAAGGCGACGAUACAUAGCCGACCUGAGAGGGUGAUCGGCCACACUGGGACUGAGACACGGCCCAGACUCCUACGGGAGGCAGCAGUAGGGAAUCUUCGGCAAUGGACGGAAGUCUGACCGAGCAACGCCGCGUGAGUGAAGAAGGUUUUCGGAUCGUAAAGCUCUGUUGUAAGAGAAGAACGAGUGUGAGAGUGGAAAGUUCACACUGUGACGGUAUCUACCAGAAAGGA
rnacentral:rRNA from 1 species